UUACAGGCAUGAGCCACCACGCCCAGCCCAUACCUGCUCUAUAGAGAGGGUGAAGUUUGCUCAUCUGGGCCUGCAGCACCCAGGAGCUCCUGAAAGAGCUCAUGGCAGUUUCAGAGUAGACAGAGGAUGUGAGAAGCAGUGACUCUUGUUUGGAAAUCUUCUAAAUUGGCUGACUCCCAUUUACAUGCUGUUUCUGGCAGCAGAGAUCAGUCUGGGUCACCUCUAUGCUGCUGAGUAAAUAUGCUCAAAAUUAUUACUAUUUCAGACAAAUGUUUAACUGUUCUCAGAUUAUCUAUAACACCCCAGGCCAAAGUCACAGCAAUCUAACCUGGGAGUGAGUUUACUUUACUUUGUGAUUUAUGGAAUGAGAAUUCUGGGUGCUCUGUGGGACUAAUUUAAUACGAAACAUUCAGAUGUCUGUCUUAUAAUGCCAUUCAUCUUUCCUUAGCCUGCCUGCACCAGGGAGCAUGUGGUUCAGAGAGCAGCCUCUCCCUUCUCAGCCACAAAUCAUCACGCUUGUGAAAGGGGGUGACAAGUCUUCCCUUCUAAGCCAGGCUGCCUGCAACAGAGGGUCUGUCUGGUCUCUGAUGGAAGAAAAGUGUUUUCCACUCUUUCAGGCUGUUGGAGUGUUUUGAAAGGUACAGUUGGCAAAGUAGGAUUCCUAGUCAACAUUGCUUUGGUUUGCCUUUUGGUAAAGGGAAUUUAGUCAGUCUAUACUGUCUUAUCAACAGGUGCAGAUUUGUUUUAUAAGAAGGCAAUGUGAUGUUCUAUGGAUUGACAUAAUGCACGUGAGAAGAAAGUUCUACAAAAAGCUAAACUCUGAUUCAGUGUAGUACUUACAUUUGAAAAGCAGAUAUUUCAAUGCAUGGCUAAAAAGGAACAAAAAUAAAACUUUUUAAACCAACAAGUUACCCUAAAUCUCACAUUCAUCCAACAAAUAUUCAUGAACGCCUGCUAUGUAGUAAGGGCUAUUCAGGCACUGGGAACACAAUUCUGAACACCCUACUUUCAUGGAGUUUGCAGACCAGUGAGAGAAAGGGCAUGUCCACAGUGGUAAGUCCUACAAGGGUGAGCAACAGGUACAGGGGGAGCACAUGGAAGGAAGUUCCCCACACAGUCAUAUAAAAUGACAUGAGAAAGCUGCAGGAAGAAAAUGUGCAAAAUCAUGGAAGUAAGAGAGAAUAUACAAUCUUGGGGAAUGGGGAAAAGUUUAGCAUGGGUGGAGUGCAGAACUCUGUGAACAAAGGGCUGAGAACCCAGACUUCAGAGCCAGGGGACCUCCGGAUUCCAAAGGCCUUUGGGCACAGGGGAGCGAGUUUGUCCUGCAUUUUGAUGGCAACAGAGGGCCACUUAAGCUCUUUAAGUGAGGAAGUGACAUGAUAUGAUUCUUAUUCUAGAAAGAUCAUUCUGGCUACAACUUUGACAAAGAAUUCGAUAGAAGCAAGGCUCUGGGGGUGGGGGUGUGUGCAGUGACUAGUUGGAAAAUCAGUGUUAUUAUACCAGUGAGUGAUGGCAGUGGUCUGAAGUCAGAUAGGUUCUGGAGUCUGGGAAGUUGAAGAUCAAGGUGCCAGCAGAUUCAGUUUCUGAGAUAUAAGGCAUGACAACAACUCCUUUAAGGGGAAGAUAAGAUAUCUUUCAACUUCUACUUGCGAUGCUGUGAUGCUUUAGGCACUAAAGCAGAAUUAGAGAGCUGCUGCAGGAAUGGGAGAAGACAAACGCUUCAGGACCAUAGAAGGAGGGGCACAGGCAAUCAUAAAUCAGAGAAAGAUGCUGGUCCUGCAGAAAGAGCCACUAACCCUGGAGAGAGAGCCGCCUUGGUGCAUUGAUGACUGAUGAGCCGACAACAGUUGGAGAUGAGAGCAAGUAGUGGUUCAAGCACUUGAGUUUAGGAUAGUGUUAUGGACUAAACUGUGUCCACUCCAAAUUCAUGGUUAAGCCCUAACCGCUACUGUGACUAUAUUCGAAGAUAGAGCCUUUAAGGAGGUAAUUAAGGUUAAAUAAAGCCA
rnacentral:lncRNA from 1 species